UGCGUAGGGGGCUAGCGUUGUCCGGAAUCAUUGGGCGUAAAGCGCGUGUAGGCGGUCCGGUAAGUCCGCUGUGAAAGUCGGGGGCUCAACCCUCGGAUGCCGGUGGAUACUGUCGGGCUUGAGUACGGAAGAGGCGAGUGGAAUUCCUGGUGUAGCGGUGAAAUGCGCAGAUAUCAGGAGGAACACCAAUUGCGAAGGCAGCUCGCUGGGACGUUACUGACGCUGAGACGCGAAAGCGUGGGGAGCGAUCCGG
rnacentral:rRNA from 1 species